UACAGAGGUCCCGAGCGUUGUUCGGAUUCAUUGGGCGUAAAGGGUGCGUAGGCGGCGGGCAAGUCUGAUGUGAAAUCCUGGGCUCAACCCUGGAACUGCAUUGGAUACUGCCUUGCUAGAGUACUGGAGAGGAAACUGGAAUUUACGGUGUAGCAGUGAAAUGCGUAGAGAUCGUAAGGAAGACCAGUGCCGAAGGCGAGUUUCUGGACAGUUACUGACGCUGAGGCACGAAGGCCAGGGAGCAAACGGG
rnacentral:rRNA from 1 species